UGAUUCCGUAGUUGUGUUCACCAUCUCAAGGGCUUCGAGAAGCACCCCUUAUUUGUGCCAACAGGACUUCGAAAUCAAAAGGGCCAUUUUAUGGUAAGGAUGUAAAUUAUGUUGGUGUUAUUUAUAUGGAUAUGUAUAUAUAUAUAUAUGCAUGUGAGCAUAAGAAGUAUGUUAUUUGAUUGUUGUUGAAAGAUGAUUGGAAAUGAUGUUGGAUUAUUCUUGUGCAUGGUUGGAUUAUGUUAAAUUGUGAAGGAAUUUGGGGUGAUGAUGUAGUAUUGAUGAUGUGGUAUUGAAAUGAUGAUUAUAUACACACACACACAUAAACCUAUUGUUCAAGUUGGUUUUUGGAAUGCUUUGCAAAUAUUGGUUGUAUGGAAUUAUGGAAGAGAAUUGUGGUGUUGGGUUGCUAAUACUAGAUGCCAAACAUUUCAUUGUAGAUAAGUGAUUUGUAAAGGCGGGAAGUUGUGUUGAAUUGGUAUCCGAAUCUACGACGAAGUAUGUAAAGCAUACUCUCUAUUGUCACACCCCAAAAUCCCAUCGGGCCGGACUGGCACCCGAAGCCGAGAAGGCCCGGGAGAACCCGUUCAAAUACCUGUACUUUCACUUAUAUGUCACCAAAAAUUUGGACAGCACUUUGUUGCAUAUAGUAGGGUCUAAUUACCUGUAUCAGCACAACACGCACAAAUAUAAAUAUAUCUAAUACUUGGCCGUCGGGGCCACCACAUAUACAAAUAUAACAUCACUAUAUAAAAUUUCAUGACUUUACCCUUCCUUAUGUCUACAAAGCCUCUAGGAUAUACAUGACAUAACUAGGGUCGGGACAAACCCCCGCCCACACAUGACUCCUGUACAAUAACAAAACAUAAGGGACAAGUUCUAGUAAGUGUGGUCCACUCCUAUUACGACUUAUUCACUUGUUUCUGAUUUCUAUUGAGCUCCUAUAUCAUAUGUGAUUAUUUACAGCUUUACAUACUCAGUACAUAUUUCGUACUGACGUCCCUCACGGGGGACCUGCAUUUCAUGCUGCAGGCACAGGUACCUCAACUCAUACACCGCACAAGUAGGAGCCAGGUCAUACAGCUAUUGUUGGUGAGCUCCAGUUUGCUUCGGAGCUUUCCGAGUCGGUUCCUUAUGUUUUGUUAUUGUACAUGAGUCACGUGUGGGCGGGGGUUUGUCCCGACCCUAGUUAUGUCAUGUAUAUCCUAGAGGCUUUGUAGACAUAAGGAAGGGUAAAGUCAUGGAAGUUUAUAUAGUAACGUUAUAUUUGUAUAUGUGGUGGCCCCGACGGCCAAGUAUUAUAUAUAUAUAUUUGUGCGUGUUGUGCUGAUACAGGUAAUUAGACCUUUCUAUAUGCAACGAAGUGCUGUCCAAUUUUUUUGGUGACAUGUAAGUGAAAGUACAGGUAUUUGAACGGGUUCUCCCGGGCCUUCUCGGCUUCGGGUGCCAGUCCGGCCCGAUGGGAUUUUGGGGCGUGACAAAAGUGGUAUCAGAGAGGUUCGUCCUAGUGAGUCUACAAAGCCGUGUCUACGUAGGGUCUUGUUUAUCGGUGUGUUGUGCACCACAUCUAUAAACAGGAGGCUAUGGACAUUUAGGAAUUGUUUCUUUUCUUCAUGUCUUAGAUCGUGCGAUAGAGCUUAUAUUGUAUAUGAAGUCAUAGUUGACCACUGAAUCAGUUUGUUUCUCUUAUUAUAGUAAUGAUGCCGGUUACCAGAAGCAAGAAUACCGGUAAGCAAGUAGAUGUGGCUGCCGGAGAGGGGACUAGUAAGUCACCCACUAUACCAGCUAAUCAAAGUGAGGCUCCAGCUGAGCAUGCAUCAGAAACUUCCUCCAGUCCGGAAGAAAUAAGGGGGAGGAGAACUAUAUCCGCAGAGCCACCUAUUAAUGUUGUUGAUCAAGAUCUUAGAAAUGCAGUGCAACUUUUGACUCGUAUAGUUGCUGGGCAAGCUCAAGGGCAAGCCAUUCCUACUGCAGGUCCUAGUGGUAUAGAUAGGGCGGCUAGCCUUCGAACACAGGAUUUUCUUAAGAUGGAUCCUCCCACUUUUACUGGAUCAGAUCUUAACGAGGACCCACAGGACUUUAUCGAUCAAAUUCAAAGGGCCUUGGAUGUUAUGCAUGUAACGGGUAGAGAGACAGUGGAGUUAGCGGCGUAUAGAUUUAAAGGGGAGGCUAUAUAUUGGUAUGAGGACUGGAAACGAUCUAGGGGUAUUGAUGCACCCCCAGCUACUUGGAAGGAGUUCAAAGAGGCAUUUCUUGAUCAUUAUCUUCCAUUCGAGAUUCGUCAGGCCCGUGCAGAUCAGUUUUUAAAUCUUCGUCAGGGGAAUAUGAGCGUGAGGGAGUACAGUCUUCGAUUUAAUUCCUUGUCGAGAUAUGCUCCUAAUGUUGUAGCUACUAUGGUUGACAGAGUUCAUCAAUAUGUGGAUAGGCUAGAUCCAUAUCUGGUUAGAGAUUGUACUAUUGCUGCUUUGAACAAAGAUAUGGACAUAGCGAGAAUCCAAGCUUUUGCACAAAAAAUGGAAGAUCAGAGGCAGAGGAGAAGAACACAGGAAUCAGAAAGAGGAUAUUCCAAGAGGGCCAGAUCUACAGGGCAGUUCAUGGCAUUCGAAAGAGGGUUCAGACCACAGUUUUCUGCUAGACCACCUAGGCCAUUAUCCUCUUAUUCUACAGCUAGUGCCCCACCACAGUUCCAAGGGUUCAGAGGAAAUCAAUUUGGGCACAGAAGUGAGAGUCAGAGUUCGCGGACAGUGGGGUACCAAGGUCAAGGGAAUAUGAGCCAAUCAAGACCUCCUCGAGAGCCAUGCAAUAAAUGUGGAAGGUAUCAUUUGGGCGCAUGUCGGCUGGGGACCAAUGUUUGCUUUUGGUGCGGUAUGUCGGGGCAUAUGAUGAGGGAAUGCCCACGAAGGGACAUAGGGGGUAUGGCACGACCUACGGGGUCAUUUGUUGCAUCAUCAUCAUCGAUGCCUUAUUCAGGAAGGGGUGCACAGCCAAUGGGUCGUGUUAGAGGUGAUAGAGGAGCCACGAGUUCUAGCGGGGCUCAAAAUCGUACGUAUGCUCUAGCAGAUCGACAGAAUUUAGAGGCUUCUCCAGAUGUGGUUACGGGUAUGUUGGCUAUAUUUUCAUUCAAUUUAUAUGCCUUAAUUGAUCCCGGUUCUACAUUAUCUUAUGUUACUCCAUUGGUUGCUGGAAAGUUCGAAAGAAUACCCGAACUGUUAGUUAAGCCAUUUGAAGUGUCCACACCGGUCGGGGAAUCUAUUAUAGCUAGAAGGGUUUAUCGAAACUGCAUAGUAACUGUUUGUGGUCGUGAUACGAUGGCUGAUCUUGUGGAGUUAGAAAUGGUAGAUUUUGAUGUUAUAAUGGGUAUGGACUGGUUGGCGUCUUGUUAUGCCACAAUUGAUUGCUGCACGAAAAAGGUAUAUUUCCAUUUUCCAAAUGAAUCAGUCCUUGAAUGGAAAGGUGAAAUUAGCGUGCCAAGAGGUAGAUUUAUUUCUUAUUUUAAGGCGAGAAGAAUGAUUUCCAAGGGAUAUAUAUAUCAUUUAGUUAGAGUAAGGGAUACAGAAGCGGAGCCACCAACUCUUCACGCUGUUCCGGUGGUAAAUGAAUUUUCUGAUGUAUUUCCUGAAGAUCUUCCAGGUUUGCCUCCUGAACGAGAAGUAGAGUUUGGUAUUGAUGUAAUACCAGGCACCCAACCAAUCUCCAUUCCUCCGUAUAGAAUGGCCCCAGCAGAAUUACGAGAAUUGAAAGAGCAAUUGAAAGAUUUGCUAGAAAAGGGGUUCAUUAGGCCUAGUAUUUCCCCUUGGGGAGCACCAGUGUUAUUUGUACGCAAAAAGGAUGGCUCGCUGAGGAUGUGUAUUGAUUAUCGGCAAUUGAAUAAGGUGACUAUUAAGAAUAAAUAUCCUCUCCCAAGAAUUGAUGAUUUAUUUGAUCAGUUACAGGGCGCCAAGUGCUUUUCUAAGAUUGAUUUGAGGUCAGGUUACCACCAAGUGAGGGUCAAAGAAAAAGAUAUACCCAAAACAGCUUUCCGAACAAGGUAUGGUCAUUAUGAGUUUCUAGUUAUGUCAUUUGGGCUAACAAAUGCACCCGCAGCUUUUAUGGAUUUGAUGAAUAGGGUUUUUAAGCCAUUCCUGGAUGUAUUUGUGAUAGUUUUUAUAGAUGAUAUUCUAGUUUAUUCUAGAUCAGAAGAGGACCAUGCCAAUCACUUACGACAGGCAUUGCAGACUCUUCGUGAUUGUAAGCUUUAUGCAAAGUUCUCUAAAUGUGAGUUUUGGUUAAAGUCGGUGGCAUUUUUGGGUCAUAUUGUAUCUAGUGAAGGGAUAAAGGUUGAUGCUCAAAAGAUAGAGGCUGUGAAGAACUGGCCAAGGCCCACAACGCCUACGGAGAUUCGUAGUUUUCUUGGGUUGGCCGGUUAUUAUAGAAGGUUUGUCAAAGACUUUUCUUCCAUUUCAGCACCCUUAACCAAGCUAACCCAUAAAGCAUCCAAAUUCCAAUGGAAUGAUGCCUGUGAGAAGAGUUUUCAAGAUUUAAAGAACAAGUUGAUUUCUACACCCGUGUUGGUACUACCAGAAGGCACCGAAGGGUAUACAGUGUAUUGUGAUGCUUCCAGAAUUGGUUUAGGAUGUGUAUUGAUGCAGCAUGGUAAGGUAAUAGCAUAUGCUUCUAGACAAUUACGGCCACAUGAGAAAAAUUAUCCUACACACGAUCUUGAGCUGGCAGCGGUUAUUUUUGCUUUAAAGAUAUGGCGCCACUACUUAUAUGGGGUUCACGUUGAUAUAUAUACUGACCAUAAGAGCUUGCAAUAUAUUUUUAAUCAGAAGGAUCUAAAUUUAAGGCAGCGGAGAUGGCUUGAACUAUUAAAGGACUAUGAUGUUGAUAUCUUGUACCAUCCAGGGAAAGCAAAUGUGGUAGCUGAUGCGUUAAGUCGUAAGGCUAUGAUGGCGCCUAUAGAAAGGCAAGGGAUGGUUAAAGAUCUUCACCAGUUAGCUAGUUUGGGAGUUCGCCUUCUUGAAACUCCGAAUAAAGAGCUUAUCGUACAUAAUGCUGCGGAAUCUUCAUUAGUAGCUGAAGUGAAAGAGAAGCAAUAUGCAGAUCCUAUUUUAUUACAUCUUAAGGAGAACGUUCAGAGUGGUGCGACCAAGGCAUUUGAGCUUACGCGAGAAGGAGUACUUCAGUGCCAAAACCGAUUGUGUGUGCCGGAUAUAGACGGGCUAAGAAAGAAGAUUAUGACAGAGGCACAUUUUUCAAGGUAUUCCAUUCAUCCAGGAUCAACCAAAAUGUAUCAAGAUUUGAAAGAUAUGUAUUGGUGGAAUGACAUGAAGAAGAGCAUUGCAGAAUUUGUAGCUGAAUGUCCAAAUUGUCAAAGAGUUAAAGUUGAGCACCAAAAACCCGGAGGCUAUAUGCAAUGCAUAGAUCUUCCAAUUUGGAAGUGGGACAUGAUCAACAUGGAUUUUGUUACAGGUUUGCCUCGUACAGCUCGAAAAUUUGAUUCUAUAUGGGUGAUUGUGGAUAGGCUUACUAAAUCCGCACAUUUCUUACCCGUUAAGACCACUUACACAGUUGAAGAAUAUUCGAAGCUGUAUGUUAAAGAAAUAGUCCGAUUACAUGGAGUGCCAACUUCUAUUAUAUCGGAUCGGGGAACUCAAUUUACUGCAAACUUUUGGAAGUCUUUCCAACGGGGUUUGGGAACACAAGUGAAUCUGAGUACAGCUUUUCACCCUCAGACGGAUGGACAAGCAGAGCGCACCAUUCAAACACUUGAAGAUAUGCUACGAGCAUGUGUUAUAGAUUUUAAAGGCAGCUGGGAUGAUCAUUUACCUCUUAUUGAGUUUGCCUACAAUAAUAGCUAUCAUUCAAGUAUCAAAAUGGCACCAUAUGAAGCUUUAUAUGGGAGAAAGUGUAGAUCACCAAUAGGAUGGUUCGAAGCGGGUGAAACUCUUAUGUUCGGACCGGAUCUUGUGUAUCAAGCCAUAGAAAAAGUCAAGGUGAUACAACAACGGCUAAAAACAGCCCAAAGUCGUCAUAAAUCAUAUGCAGAUAUUCGGAGAAGAGGGCUGGAAUUCUCUAUUGGAGAUUGGGUAUUUUUAAAGGUAUCACCAAUGAAAGGGGUUAUGAGAUUUGGUAAAAAAGGGAAACUAAGCCCACGUUACAUAGGGCCAUAUAAGAUUACCAAGAGGGUCGGACAAGUUGCAUAUGAAUUAGAGCUACCCCAGGAACUUUCAAUGGUUCAUCCAGUGUUUCAUGUGUCAAUGCUUCGAAAAUGCAUAGGUGACCCCUCUCGUAUCACUCCUAUAGAAGAUGUACAGGUCACAGAGGAUCUUACUUAUGAAGAGGUACCGGUUGCUAUUCUAGAUCGCCAAGUUAAAAAGUUAAGGAACAAAGAAAUGGCAUCAGUAAAGGUACUUUGGAGAAAUCAACAAAGGGAAGAGAUUACAUGGGAAGCUGAGGAAGCAAUGAAAUCUAAGUACCCUCAUUUGUUCAAAGAUGAAGAGGAAGUUCAAGAAACGGAGUUAGAACAUUAACAAGUAAGUUUUUGUUUAUAUAUGCAUAGUAUUUAUGUGAUGAUGUGAAUGUUAAUGGUGGACUUGAACUUGUUUCGGCUAAAUAACUACAUUCACAUUCGAGGACGAAUGUCCUUAAGGGGGGAAGGAUGUAACACCCCGUACUUAAUUACGUGCAUUAGUCAUUGUUAUAUGUGUUGGGGUAUAUGUAUUGAUCCUAAGUUAGGUAUAUAUGAGUUUAAGUAUGAGUAUUGAUUAUUUUGAGAUGGUUUCAAGUGUAUAGUUUGAUUAUAGGUGUAUAGGAAUCGACUUUAUUUAUAUCGGAAUUUUCCCGUCGAUGGUUCCAUACGAAGGUUAUUGAAUAAGCUUUCCAACGAUAUAAAGAUUUCCAAAAACGGAUAAGUUUCGGAUAUAAGCGAGCUCGUUCGAAACUUUAAAACGGUGGCCGGGAUGUGAACAGUAAAAUGUGCAGGAAACUACUGAGGCCUGCCAGUUUUUUGGGUCAACUUUGAACGAUCAUAACUCCCUCAAUAUAAUGAACUGGUUGAGCUACCAUAUAUCAAAAGAAAGAUCUUUGAGUCUUCUUUCCAAUGAAAUUGGUUUCAUCCAAAUCCAACAUCUGAGUAAGGAGUUAUACUCGUUUUACUUCAGCCUCUCAAAACAGAUUUUUAGGGUCAACUUCAAACGAUCAUAACUACUUGUACAGGACGAACUGGGUGGAUUAAUUUAUAUUAAAUGAAAUACCUUUGAAUUAUCUUUCUAACGAUACCAAUUUCACCCAAAUCCGAUAUCGGAGCAAAGAGUUAUGGCCGAUUUACUUUAGCCUAUCAAAACAGUCCACCAUGGACAGAUUCGGAUUUACUUAAAUUUUUAAGGGCAAUAUGGUCAUUUUCCAUCACCUCUUGAACGAAAAUUGGUCAUUAUAUACAUAUACUUAGCCUCAUAUCCAUUAUUUAUCAUCCAUUAUUGAAAACUAAGAAACCCUAGCCAAAUUUCAACUCCAAUUAUCUUGUGAUUCAACCGUAGAAAAUCCAAAUUGAUUCCGUAGUUGUGUUCACCGUCUCAAGGGCUUCGAGAAGCACCCCUUAUUUGUGCCAACAGGACUUCGAAAUCAAAAGGGCCAUUUUUUUGGUAAGGAUGUAAAUUAUGUUGGUGUUAUUUAUAUGGAUAUGUAUAUAUAUAUAUAUAUGCAUGUGAGCAUAAGAAGUAUGUUAUUUGAUUGUUGUUGAAAGAUGAUUGGAAAUGAUGUUGGAUUAUUCUUGUGCAUGGUUGGAUUAUGUUAAAUUGUGAAGGAAUUUGGGGUGAUGAUGUGGUAUUGAUGAUGUGGUAUUGAAAUGAUGAUUAUAUAUAUAUACACACAUAAACCUAUUGUUCAAGUUGGUUUUUGGAAUGUUUUGCAAAUAUUGGUAGUAUGGAAUUAUGGAAGAGAAUUGUGGUGUUGGGUUGCUAAUACUAGAUGCCAAACAUUUCAUUGUAGAUAAGUGAUUUGUAAAGGCGGGAAGUUGUGUUGAAUUGGUAUCUGAAUCUACAACGAGGUAUGUAAAGCAUACUCUAACAAUGUUCUUUGGCAUGAAAACACCAAUGUUCCAUCAAGUAAGAUUCCGAGGUUGUCCAAAAACAUGUAUUGUUCUACGUUACCAACGAAGUUGUUUCCAUUCUAUAAAGUGUCAAAAUGUUUCAUUGAUAUACCAAAAGGCUCUUAUUUCAUUGUUGUGAUAUUGAUGAUUCUGAAACACAUUGUUGAUGUACCAAUGAGUCUUUAUUACAUCGUUAUUGUAUAGAAGGUCUAUUACUUGGUUCCUAUUGAUGUAUCAUUGUUUCAAAGUAUCAAAAAUGUGGUGGCGACCGAAAUAACAAUCUCAAAGAUUAAUUGAACUAAGUGAUGGAAGUUCUCUCUUAUCGGGUGGUAUCCCAGGGGCAUAAGCCUAGCAUGGGUCGAUCCCUAUUUAUGUGUUUAUGGGUGGUAUCCCAGGGGCAUAAGCCUAGCAUGGGUCGAUCCCAGUUGAUAUGUACUGGAGGCAUCCUAAUGGUCACAGUACAGUACAGUAAUGAUUACAAAGACGAUAAGAACGAAGGUAAAGUGAUUGAAUAAAUACAAUGUACAGGUUGUCACAAGUUCUAGUAAGUGUGGUCCACUCCUAUUAUGACUUAUUCACUUGUUUCUGAUUUCUAUUGAGCUCCUAUAUCAUAUGUGAUUAUCUACAGCUUUACAUACUCAGUACAUAUUUCGUACUGACGUCCCUCACGGGGGACCUGCAUUUCAUGCUGCAGGCACAGGUACCUCAGCUCAUUCACAGCAUAGAUAGGAGCCAGGUCAUACAGCUAUUGUUGGUGAGCUCCAG
rnacentral:lncRNA from 1 species